rnacentral:rRNA from 1 species
UACACGACCGUACCGCAAACCGACACUGGUGCGCGAGAUGAGUAUUCUAAGGCGCUUGAGAGAACUCAGGAGAAGGAACUCGGCAAAUUGACACCGUAACUUCGGAAGAAGGUGUGCCUUUAGUAGGUGAACCAUUUACUUGGGGAGCCCAAUGAGGUUGCAAGAAAUCGGUGGCUGCGACUGUUUAUUAAAAACACAGCACUCUGCAAACACGAAAGUGGACGUAUAGGGUGUGACGCCUGCCCGGUGCUGGAAGAUUAAAUGAUGGGGUGCAAGCUCUUGAUUGAAGUCCCAGUAAACGGCGGCCGUAACUAUAACGGUCCUAAGGUAGCGAAAUUCCUUGUCGGGUAAGUUCCGACCUGCACGAAUGGCGUAACGAUGGCCACACUGUCUCCUCCUGAGACUCAGCGAAGUUGAAAUGUUUGUGAUGAUGCAAUCUCCCCGCGGAAAGACGGAAAGACCCCAUGAACCUUUACUGUAGCUUUGUAUUGGACUUUGAACAGAUCUGUGUAGGAUAGGUGGGAGGCUUUGAGGUAGGGUCGCUAGAUCUUAUGGAGCCAACGUUGAAAUACCACCCUGGUGUGUUUGAGGUUCUAACCUAGGUCCAUUAUCUGGAUCGGGGACAGUGCAUGGUAGGCAGUUUGACUGGGGCGGUCUCCUCCCAAAGCGUAACGGAGGAGUUCGAAGGUACGCUAGUUACGGUCGGACAUCGUGACGAUAGUGCAAUGGCAUAAGCGUGCUUAACUGCGAGACUGACAAGUCGAGCAGAUGCGAAAGCAGGACAUAGUGAUCCGGUGGUUCUGUAUGGAAGGGCCAUCGCUCAACGGAUAAAAGGUACUCUGGGGAUAACAGGCUGAUACCGCCCAAGAGUUCAUAUCGACGGCGGUGUUUGGCACCUCGAUGUCGGCUCAUCUCAUCCUGGGGCUGUAGCCGGUCCCAAGGGUAUGGCUGUUCGCCAUUUAAAGAGGUACGUGAGCUGGGUUUAAAACGUCGUGAGACAGUUUGGUCCCUAUCUUCCGUGGGCGCUGCAGAUUUGAGGAAGCCUGCUCCUAGUACGAGAGGACCGGAGUGGACACACCUCUGGUGUAUCGGUUGUCACGCCAGUGGCAUUGCCGAGUAGCUAAGUGUGGAAGAGAUAACCGCUGAAAGCAUCUAAGCGGGAAACUCGUUUCAAGAUGAGAUCUGCCGGGGCCUUGAGCCCCCUAAAGAGUCGUUCAAGACCAGGACGUUGAUAGGUCAGGUGUGGAAGCGCAGUAAUGCGUUAAGCUAACUGAUACUAAUUGCUCGUGCGGCUUGACC